CUCUCUUCCGAUCUGCCAAAUGCAUAAAAGAAAAAAAAAAAAGGCUACACUGAGACUGCAUUUCUUAUCUAUCAGAGUGGCAAAAAAAGUAACCUCCUCUGCUCUUUAGACCAUGUGGGAACAGGCAUGCUCGUACGUUGCUGGUAGGAAUGCAAAUUGGUACAAGCUUCAUACAGGAAAAUUUGGCAGAAUCUAACAGAAUUGUAUAUUUCUCAUUGUCUGAUAGGAAUCCCUUCUGUAAAGGAAGUCUGAAGAUACAACCCGACAAC